AAACGCAAGGCGGAGCUCUGCUGCCAGGGGUGCGGCGCAGUUCCGAGUUCCCCGACUAGGUCUCUGCCGCGAGCCCGGCAGGUCCCUCCGACCUAGCCCCAGUUUGGUGAGAGCAUCGCAGAGAGCGGAAAGUGGCCCGUUCUCUUUCCGUGGAUGAGGGGCGCUUUUGGGGAAGGGCAUGGAAGCGAGGAGCGGACGGAUUUUCUGAUCUGUUUGAGAUACGGGCACCGGUCUUUGCCCAGCUACAUUCCCAAUCAGCUCUACACCUAACCUGGGGCUUGAAUUCACAGCUCCGAGAUCAAGAGUCACAUGCUCUACUGACUAAGCCAGCCAUCCACCCCUGUCUGUAUUAUUUUUGCAACUUUUCAGUAAAUCAAAUUGUUUUAAAAUAAAAAGUUUUAAAUGAUAA